CCUAUAACCCCAUACCCAACCUCCAUAAUCCCACAACUUUUGUUUCCCCCAAAUCUCCCAAACCCUCCAAUGCCAGCACCAAUUUUCUCAAAACCUCCAACACAGCACCAAAAGAAGACAUUUCUAUGCUACUUCGCUUGCUAUACCAGAAGCACCCAACCCAUCUUUGUCUAUCGCAUUUAUCCAGCUGCACGAUAGAAAUCGUUGGAGGUGUUCGUGAGAUGUUCGACGAUGGGUCCCAUCUUCUCCAACUAAAUUUAUACCAAACAAGCGACGGUGGUUGGAGGUCGUAGCUGUCGAUGGAAGCAAAGAUGGACAAAUGGUUCGAAAUAUCGAUGGUGUGACAAAAGCGAUAUCGGAGCUAGCCAAAUGAACGGAGACUUCGGAGGUGCUUGGAGAUGUCAGAGCUAGCCAAACGGUCGAAGUCUUCAGAGGUGGCCGGAGGUUGAAGUGUAGAUGCGGAGUGUGAGUGAAAAAGUGGAAAAUGGAGAAAACAAAAGGAGGGAAAUGACGCCCAAAUGACCUGAGAUGAAUGGGGAAAACGGUUAAAUUGGAGUGGGCCACUGUUACCAAAAUUUCAUUUGCUGUUCAUUGGUUUUUUUAAUUAGAAUAAUGCUUUAUCCACGUCACUUUGUUAGCAAGCCGGUCAAACCCAAUGUUAAAGUAGCAUAAUUCAUCUUUAUUUGAUAAUAAACACUUUCAUUUCGUAUAAAAAUUCCCCGUUUACGCUCA